GACGAACGCUGGCGGCGUGCUUAACACAUGCAAGUCGAGCGACUGCAUUCUUUUCGGAGGGUGUAUGGAGCGGCGAACGGGUGAGUAACACGUGAGUAAUCUGCCUUUGGCUUGGGAAUAACUUCGGGAAAUCGGGGCUAAUGCCUGAUGUUUACUGUCUGCUGCAUGGUGGGUGGUGGAAAGAUUUUUUGGCCAGGGAUGAGCUCGCGGUCUAUCAGCUUG
rnacentral:rRNA from 1 species